rfam:Peptostreptococcaceae bacterium CCRI-22567 contig-2, whole genome shotgun sequence.
CUGUGAUAGAUGGGGAAGUAGCGGAGCCUUGUAACCUGCAAUCCGCUUUAGCAGGGUCGAUGCUCGUUUUGAGUGUAUAUUUUGCAGAGCCGUCCUAAUAUAAUUUUCGUUGAGAUUGUAGUCUCAUACAAUAGUGUGUCGUGAACCCCGUCAGGUCAGGAAUGAAGCAGCGGUAAGCGAAUUUCAUUAUGUGCUGUGAGGGUGCUGCGGUUGAGUUAAUUAUUUUGGGAAACGUCUGUGGAAUAUAUGCGAAAGCGAGUUCACAG